CCUACGGGAGGCAGCAGUAGGGAAUGUUGCGCAAUGGGCGAAAGCCUGACGCAGCAACGCCGCGUGAACGAGACGCACCUUGGGGUGUAAAGUUCCGUCAGUGGGGACGAAAAAUGACGGUACCCACAGAGUAAGCACCGGCUAACGCCGGGCCAGCAGCCGCGGUAAUACGGAGGGUGCAAGCGUUGUCCGGAAGCAGUGGGCGUAAAGAGUUCGUAGGCGGCAUGUAAAGUCAGGUGUUAAAGGCGCAGGCUCAACCUGUGGAUGGCUCUUGAUACUUGCAAGCUGGAGUGCGGUAGAGGUAAAGGGAAUUCCUGGUGUAGCGGUGAAAUGCUUAGAUAUCAGGAGGAACAUCGGUGGCGUAGGCGCUUUACUGGGCCGUAAUUGACGCUGAGGAACGAAAGCCAGGGUAGCAAAUAGGAUUAGAUACCCUUGUAGUC
rnacentral:rRNA from 1 species